CCUACGGGAGGCAGCAGUGGGGAAUCUUGCGCAAUGGGCGAAAGCCUGACGCAGCAACGCCGCGUGCGGGAAGAAGGCCUUCGGGUUGUAAACCGCUUUCAGCAGGAACGAAAAUGACGGUACCUGCAGAAGAAGGUGCGGCCAACUAUGUGCCAGCAGCCGCGGUGAUACAUAGGCACCAAGCGUUGUCCGGAUUUAUUGGGCGUAAAGAGCUCGUAGGCGGUUCAGUCAGUCGGGUGUGAAAACUCUGGGCUUAACCCAGAGCCUGCACCCGAUACUGCUGUGACUAGAGUUCGGUAGGGGAGCGGGGAAUUCCUGGUGUAGCGGUGAAAUGCGCAGAUAUCAGGAGGAACACCGAUGGCGAAGGCACCGCUCUGGGCCGAAACUGACGCUGAGGAGCGAAAGCAUGGGUAGCAAACAGGAUUAGAUACCCUGGUAGUCCAUGCCGUAAACGUUGGGCACUAGGUGUGGGUUCCAAUCAACGGAAUCCGCGCCGUCGCUAACGCAUUAAGUGCCCCGCCUGGGGAGUACGGUCGCAAGACUAAAACUCAAAGGAUUGACGG
rnacentral:rRNA from 1 species